CAUUCUUUCUUUCCCAAGCAUCCAUCUCAUCCUCAAAUCGCAUCUCCGGCAGCAGCACCGGCGAGGGCCACCACCUCCGCGCGCCCCGCGCACUCGGAGCUUCUCAGCCGCUUCCCAUCCAUUUUAUGCCGCCGUCGGCUUUCUCCGGCGAACUCAUCCCCUUCUCUCCUUACAAGUCGUGCCCAACCCACUAUUCCACUCCUCCGUGUCAGCAGUGGAGGGGUUGGUUGCCCAAAGCGACUGGAGACAGGGGGCUGUGUGUGCACGCGAUGGGCGGCGAGCUCUCCAGAUUUUUUGUUUUGCUGAGAUUUUUUGCUGGAAGCCGGCGGUGCUAGGUGACGAUGGCGGCGAGCCGGAGCCGAGGACGCAAGGAUGUUGCAACCAUGGCGACCACUCGCUGGAACCGGCUGUCGUCAAAGCUGCAUCCAUUGUGACCACACGCUGUGACCCAUCGGCGGUCGUGCUGCAAUCCCUGUGGCCACGAGUGGGAGACAUCGUCGGUGCUCGUCGGCCACGGCCCUGGCCCCAGCCCCGACGGCAGGGCAAAGACUAGUUUUGAGAGUUUUGAGAUUUGGAAGCGGCAAGCCGGGGACGGCACUGGUCUCUCUCCCCCUUCUUUUUUCCUCCCUGUUUUUGUUUUUUUUAUGAGGUGGUCGAAAAAACCGCAUCGGACGGUUUAGAAUAGUCUAAUCGUGUGGUGGUGCGCCGACCGGCCCAAAUUUGGACCGGCGCGCCGGCGCCUAUCAUCGCCCAAACUAUACAGACGCAGACACUCAUACGUACGCACAUACACUCAUCCCUAUGAACACGCCACACACACACUCUACCUCUAUGAGCACCUUCGAAAGAUUGAGAUGGCACAUCAUCUUGAAAUUGUCAAAGUUGCCAAAAACAUCUUUGUAGUCGACGGAAAGUUAUCCUCCCAUUGAGUGUGCAAUGCUAGCAGGUCAAAAAUAAAUUCAGGAAAAUGCGACCACCAGUGCACUAAAAGAAGUUUUCAAUCAUAUAAUUUUGAAGUCACGCAAAAUAAAAAAAUAAAAAAAAUCCAAUUCUGGCCAGCGCAUUACAAAACUGAACUUUCAUCAUAAAUUAGACAAAUUAAAUAUGUUUUAUAUGUGAAAAAAAUUAUGCCAUUUUCUUAUUCGGCAAAAGCUCUUAGUGGUAUUACUUUAAGUCAUAUAAAACAAACUAAAUAUAUAUUUAGUCUUAUUUAUGGUCAAAGUUGUAUUUUAGAAUGCGUGAGCGAGGGAGUAUGAAAUUUAAAGCAACACUCAGGUGAUGUUAUAAGAAACCAGGCAGGCAUCGUUUCCUAUUGCACACUAUGAUAUCACCAUGAUUUGAGCAAAUCUAUACCUUUUUAUUUGAGGAUAUGUACUCUCUAAUAUCUAUUAUCUAACUAAUCAAUGUAAUCUCUAUUACCUAAAUGAUAAAUACAUGUGUAACAAGAACGUGUUC